CUUUAACAUACUUAUUUGAUUUUAAAUCACGCUACUCAUACCCACAAAAGAGUGUAUUCAUGUAUUUAGAGUCAAUCCAGUGAAGAAAUUCAUUAAUGUAUAUACACAGAUAAGAGGAAUAACAACAUGGUAUUCACUAGGUUCUUUAACUAAAUGAACAGAUUGUAAAAGACUUUAUUUAAAUGCCUUAAUCUCUGCCAAAGUCUACCUAUUUACACCAGUUAUUUGGAAAAUUCUCAGUUGGAUACUUCCAAACAGCAAAUAGCAGGUCAAGUUUCAAACAUGUGACUUGCUCAUUAAGUAUAUUUAAAUAGCAUGUAGUGAGUUAGAAAUCCCCAUCAGAAUCAGAUUCUCCAGGAUACCAGAGAAAGGCUGACUUCUCAACCUUUGAAAACAAAGCAAAACAAAACAAUCAAAAGCAGACAAAAAUGAUGUUCAAGGCACUCAUCACCAGCCUGCUCCUCGUGUUUAUUCACAUUACGGGAACAGUUUCAACAUCUACGACCUCAGUUUCUAUGAGCCCGAAUUCCAGCAUGAGCCCAAACCCCAAGACAAACCAAAGUCUUGGGACCAAGCAUUAUCCUAUGAGAAGUCCAGAUAUCAAGAAUCCCAAGAUGACUCAGAGUUCCAAGAUGAUCCCAAGUUCCAAGAUGAUCCCGAGUUCCAAGAUGAUCCAGAGUUCCAAAACAAACCAAACAUCAGCAAUGACCCCAAAGACAGUUAUAACAACAAUGAAUGUAAUAAAUGGUAGCACAAUACUCAAUGCAAUGUUCAACAUUCACUUUCUUUCCUAUGUAGGCUUUUUACUAUUUUGUGUGUAUUCAGGCUGAAGUGAACCUGUUGAACAGCCUACAUUUUUAUCUUGGUUCCUUAUUAUCUGCUGAAUGAUAAGCACACUAGGAAAAUAAAAUUUAUUUCAACUUACUAUUUAAGAAAUUAUCAUUAUCCUGGUAUGGUUUGGUUGUUUGCAGAUUUUGACUAUAUAAGUUUAAACAUUAUAUGAUAGUUUCCUUCCUUAUAAAAAACUAUGUACUUACUUCCUUAUUAAAUGCCAAAAUAAGCAAAAUACCA